CCUACGGGCGGCAGCAGUGGGGAAUAUUGGACAAUGGGGGAAACCCUGAUCCAGCGACGCCGCGUGAGUGAAGAAGUAUUUCGGUACGUAAAGCUCUAUCAGCAGGAAAGAAAAUGACGGUACCUGACUAAGAAGCCCCGGCUAACUACGUGCCAGCAGCCGCGGUAAUACGUAGGGGGCAAGCGUUAUCCGGAUUUACUGGGUGGAAAGGGAGCGCAGACGGCUGUGCAAGUCUGGAGUGAAAGGCGGGGGCCCAACCCCCGGACGGCUCUGUAAACUGUAAAGCUGGAGUGCAGGAGAGGUAAGCGGAAUUCCUAGUGUAGCGGUGAAAUGCGUAGAUAUUAGGAGGAACACCAGUGGCGAAGGCGGCUUACUGGACUGCAACUGACGUUGAGGCUCGAAAGCGUGGGGAGCAAACAGGAUUAGAUACCCUAGUAGUC
rnacentral:rRNA from 1 species